rnacentral:snoRNA from 1 species
CCCAGCUGUGGACAACGACCUAGGCUGCAUUGUACUUAGGCAAGUGUUACACUGCUGGGGGAAAAGCAACUAAUAGCUGGUGGGCACCCUGGGCCUAGUUAAUGCCAAAUCUGUGUUAACGAUAACAGUGUGCCAGCAUA